UACGAAGGGGGCUAGCGUUACUCGGAAUGACUGGGCGUAAAGGGCGCGUAGGCGGUUUGUUUAGUUAGGCGUGAAAUUCCUGGGCUCAACCUGGGGGCUGCGCUUAAUACAGGCAGACUAGAGUGUGAAAGAGGGUCGUGGAAUUUCCAGUGUAGAGGUGAAAUUCGUAGAUAUUGGAAAGAACACCGGUGGCGAAGGCGGCGACCUGGUUCAUUACUGACGCUGAGGCGCGAAAGCAUGGGGAGCGAACAGG
rnacentral:rRNA from 1 species